rnacentral:rRNA from 1 species
AGAACGAACGCUGGCGGCGUGGAUAAGACAUGCAAGUCGAACGCUGACAUUUAGGUAGCAAUAUUUGAAUGUCGGAGUGGCGCAAGGGUGCGUAACACGUGGGUAAUUUGCCGUGAAGUUUGGGAUAACUUGCUGAAAGGCGAGCUAAUACCGGAUGUGAAUUGUUGAAGGCAUCUUCGAAAAUUCAAAGUUGGGGACCGCAAGGCCUGACGCUUUACGAUAAGCCCGCGGCCUAUCAGCUAGUUGGUGAGGUAACGGCUCACCAAGGCUAAGACGGGUA